UAGGGAAUCUUCGGCAAUGGACGGAAGUCUGACCGAGCAACGCCGCGUGAGUGAAGAAGGUUUUCGGAUCGUAAAGCUCUGUUGUAAGAGAAGAACGAGUGUGAGAGUGGAAAGUUCACACUGUGACGGUAUCUUACCAGAAAGGGACGGCUAACUACGUGCCAGCAGCCGCGGUAAUACGUAGGUCCCGAGCGUUGUCCGGAUUUAUUGGGGCGUAAAGCGAGCGCAGGCGGUUAGAUAAGUCUGAAGUUAAAGGCUGUGGCUUAACCAUAGUACGCUUUGGAAACUGUUUAACUUGAGUGCAAGAGGGGAGAGUGGAAUUCCAUGUGUAGCGGUGAAAUGCGUAGAUAUAUGGAGGAACACCGGUGGCGAAAGCGGCUCUCUGGCUUGUAACUGACGCUGAGGCUCGAAAGCGUGGGGAGCAAACAGGAUUAGAUACCCUGGUAGUCCACGCCGUAACGAUGAGUGCUAGGUGUUAGACCCUUUCCGGGGUUUAGUGCCGUAGCUAACGCAUUAAGCACUCCGCCUGGGGAGUACGACCGCAAGGUU
rnacentral:rRNA from 1 species